UUUUUAACAGACUUUAUUUUAUGAAUAGCUCUAUUUGUUGUAUUUUAUGGUUACGUAUUGUUCGUGAAUAAACUGCUUUUACAAUU